rnacentral:tRNA from 2 species
ACCUACUUAACUCAGUGGUUAGAGUAUAGCUUUCAUACGGCUAGAGUCAUUGGUUCAAAUCCAAUAGUAGGUA